rnacentral:rRNA from 1 species
UACGUAGGGUGCAAGCGUUGUCCGGAAUUAUUGGGCGUAAAGAGCUCGUAGGCGGUUUGUCGCGUCUGCUGUGAAAUCCCGAGGCUCAACCUCGGGUCUGCAGUGGGUACGGGCAGACUAGAGUGCGGUAGGGGAGAUUGGAACUCCUGGUGUAGCGGUGGAAUGCGCAGAUAUCAGGAAGAACACCGAUGGCGAAGGCGGUUCUCUGGGCCUUACCUGACACUGAGGAGCGAAAGCGUGGGGAGCGAACAGG